GUGUGUGUGUGUCUGGUGUGUGUGUGUGUGUGUGUGUUCUUCUGUUGGAGGUGUUCUAGAAACAGCAGCUCGGACUGUCAGAGCGGUCUGAUUGGUGAGGGGGGGGGGGGGGAAAACUUAGCUGUUAUUGGCAGAGAGAUUUCAAACCUCUCUUAUUGGUCUAUUAACCUAAUUAUGAUGUCACAAGGCAGGCCAAAAAAACUCCGCCCCAACCAAAAAACAGGAUUGAAAUUUCAGAGGGGUCUUUUCAAAUAACUCUUCCCACUAAAAUGACAUUAUCAAUUUCACAGUAUUAUUCCAACCUCAUAGCGUGGAAAUAUAUCAAUCACAGGAACGUUUUUUCACUGCCCUGGGCCUUUAAAAGAAGUUUAAUAAAAAAGUGACGAAUGUAAUAUUGUGUGGUAAAAAAAAAAAUGUUCUGUUGAAUUCUGUGUAAUUAUGAAUUUUGAUUUAAAAGAGAUGUUUUGAUUUGUAAAAUUCAUUUGAUCUGAAUUGAGAUGGAGAAAUAAAAAAAUAAAACGUUGAUUACCCCUAAAAAAAAUACUGAAAGGUUGAAUAAAAUGACAGAUAAAACUCGGUUCUGUUAUACUGCAGGUCUUUAUGUUCAGAUAAAAGGGGAGGUUUCCUUUAUGUUCAGAUAAAAGGGGAGGUUUCCUUUAUGUCCAGAUAAAAGGGGAGGUUUCCUUUAUGUUCAGAUAAAAGGGGAGGUUUCCUUUAUGUUCAGAUAAAAGGGGAGGUUUCCUUUAUGUCCAGAUAAAAGGGGAGGUUUCCUUUAUGUCCAGAUAAAGGGGAGGUUUCCUUUAUGUCCAGAUAAAGGGGAGGUUUCCUUUAUGUCCAGAUAAAAGGGGAGGUUUCCUUUAUGUUCAGAUAAAAGGGGAGGUUUCCUUUAUGUUCAGAUAAAAGGGGAGGUUUCCUUUAUGUCCAGAUAAAAGGGGAGGUUUCCUUUAUGUUCAGAUAAAGGGGAGGUUUCCUUUAUGUCCAGAUAAAAGGGGAGGUUUCCUUUAUGUCCAGAUAAAAGGGGA
rnacentral:lncRNA from 1 species